rnacentral:rRNA from 1 species
AUUGAACGCUGGCGGCAUGAUUUACACAUGCAAGUCGAACGGUAACAGGCCGCAAGGUGCUGACGAGUGGCGAACGGGUGAGUAAUGCAUCGGAACGUGCCCAGUCGUGGGGGAUAACUACUCGAAAGAGUAGCUAAUACCGCAUACGAUCUAUGGAUGAAAGCGGGGGACCGUAAGGCCUCGCGCGAUUGGAGCGGCCGAUGUCAGAUUAGGUAGUUGGUGGGGUAAAGGCUCACCAAGCCAACGAUCUGUAGCUGGUCUGAGAGGACGACCAGCCACACUGGGACUGAGACACGGCCCAGACUCCUACGGGAGGCAGCAGUGGGGUAUUUUGGGCAAUGGGCGCAAGCCUGAUCCAGCAAUGCCGCGUGCAGGAAGAAGGCCUUCGGGUUGUAAACUGCUUUUGUACGGAGCGAAACGGCUCUGGUUAAUACCCGAGGCUAAUGACGGUACCGUAAGAAUAAGCACCGGCUAACUACGUG